rnacentral:rRNA from 1 species
UACGGGGGGGGCAAGCGUUGUUCGGAAUUACUGGGCGUAAAGGGCUUGUAGGUGGCCCCAUAAGUCAGACGUGAAAUCCCUCGGCUCAACCGGGGAACUGCGUCUGAGACUGCGGGGCUUGAAUCCGGGAGAGGGAUGCGGAAUUCCAGGUGUAGCGGUGAAAUGCGUAGAUAUCUGGAGGAACACCGGUGGCGAAGGCGGCAUCCUGGACCGGUAUUGACACUGAAAAGCGAAAGCCAGGGGAGCAAACGGG